GACGAACGCUGGCGGCGUGCUUAACACAUGCAAGUCGAACGGUAAGGCCCUUCGGGGUACACGAGUGGCGAACGGGUGAGUAACACGUGGGUGAUCUGCCCUGCACUUCGGGAUAAGCCUGGGAAACUGGGUCUAAUACCGGAUAGGACUCCUGGCUUCAUGGUUGGGGGUGUAAAGCUUUUGCGGUGUGGGAUGGGCCCGCGGCCUAUCAGCUUGUUGGUGGGGUAAUGGCCUACCAAGGCGACGACGGGUAGCCGGCCUGAGAGGGUGACCGGCCACACUGGGACUGAGAUACGGCCCAGACUCCUACGGGAGGCAGCAGUGGGGAAUAUUGCACAAUGGGCGCAAGCCUGAUGCAGCGACGCCGCGUGAGGGAUGACGGCCUUCGGGUUGUAACCUCUUUCAAUAGGACGAAGCGCAAGUGACGGUACCUAUAGAAGAAGGACCGGCCAACUACGUGCCAGCAGCCGC
rnacentral:rRNA from 1 species